UGGGGAAUCUUGCGCAAUGGGGGAAACCCUGACGCAGCAACGCCGUGUGUGCGAUGAAGGCCCUCGGGUCUUAAAGCACUGUCAACAGGGAAGAUGGGUUCAUAUUUUAAUAGAGUAUGGAUUUGACGGUACCUGUGGAGGAAGCACUGGCUAACUCUGUGCCAGCAGCCGCGGUAAGACAGAGGGUGCAAGCGUUGUUCGGAAAAAUUGGGCGUAAAGCGCGCGUAGGCGGCGAGUUAAGUCGGAUGAGAAAGCCCGGGGCUCAACCUCGGAAGAGCAUCCGAAACUGGCUUGCUUGAAUCUUGGAGGGGGCAGUGGAAUUCCCGGUGUAGAGGUGAAAUUCGUAGAUAUCGGGAGGAACACCAGUGGCGAAGGCGACUGCCUGGACAAUGAUUGACGCUGAGGUGCGAAAGCGUGGGUAGCAAACAGGAUUAGAUACCCGCGUAGUCC
rnacentral:rRNA from 1 species